ensembl:lncRNA
GUAGCAGUGUCUGUGAGGGAAAAAAAAUAGAUCCCGGCCGGUCUUGGGCACGAAACAGGAACAGUGUAACACCUUAGUCAAAAACAACGUGAUGAAUGCUCAAGUCCGAUUUUAUAUAUCCUCGAGUCCGAGUCCAAGUACGAGUCAUCAGUCUGCGAGUCCAAGUCGAGUCACGAGUCCAGAGAAUGGAGUCUCGAGUCAGACUCGAGUCCAAAGAAUAGUGACUCGAGUACUCCAUCACUGGCAUCUUAUAUAUGCGCUAAAUGCAUUAAAUAUCUUAAAACACUGAGACAUUGUUUCACUACUUUAAAAACUGCAUUUAAAAUGUAUUUAAAUGUGUGCAUUCACUGUAAAAGAUGUUGCACUGUUAACUUAGUAAAAUUAUGCUCAUCUUAUUUGUUUCUGCUCUGUUGGCAUUACUCAGUUUGAUUGAGUUCUUUACCCAUUACUUAAAGCAUUGCAAUUAAGUUCGCUGAACUUAAUUUCUUUGUGUUCAGAGAAAGUUUUAAAUGUCGCUCCUUCGCGCAUGCGUCAUAGAGGACGGGCACAAGCACUUGUGCCACCAAGCGCACACAUUUUCAAAGGACUUCGUGUUAUCGAACGGCGGUUUGUAAAACCUACAGAGGAUUGGACCCAACGCCUUCACAAAGUGACGCAUUCAAACCGUAAGGCUCUCUAACGAUCAUCUGACAGAUGGACGGGUGCUAAGCCAAAGAUAUCAUCUAGACCCACAUAAUUAUGUUGAAUGAACCGGGUCAUUAUGUUAAGAAGUGGAGUCAUUCCUCCACCGAGGGUCCAUAACAAAGAAGCUCUUGUGUAAUCACUGGUCCUGAAAACAAGGGAACUCUGAGUCAUCCUCAUCGCACCUGUCCUUUGGUCUCCUCAAUACUUGAGGUUCAUUGACGUAAUCUGCUCUAUUUUGAUCUUUUGAUACUUGUCCAGGUAAAUAUCUUCUCAG